GAAAAUCUACACAUCUGCAAAGUUCCUUUUGCCAUAUAAUCAGAAGAAACAAAAAGAAGCUGUGGUGAAGAAGGAACGUUUUCUAAAGCCUCUUUUACAUCCAGGAUGGUUGAGAAGUCAGAGGCCUGCAAUGCUAGGAAGAGAGGGUCUAAAAUGUCCUUUUCACUGUGAUGUAAGUAGGCUCUCCAGCAGUCCCAGAAGACUUUCACAAGAAGAGUUUCAGACAAUAGAAAAUAAGCCUAAGUGAUUGUGUGAAUAUCACAGAGCAACAGAGAAAAUGUGGAUCACUCCAACUCUAGCACAAGGUCAGGGAGGAAAAAAAAUCAGAGAGUUUGGAAUUUGUAAGUGCUCGUGUUUGAGAAAUGGGGAGCAUCACAAACUAACAGCAUAGGUGGACAUUUUUUAUAGGGUAAAGGAUUCCCACGGAACAGCACUCGUCAAAUGCAAAUAAAAAUUGUACAAAGAAGGUAACUUCUUUCUCUGUCCCCACAUCUCUCCUUCUGAAACUUCAUUCUUCCAUUAAAAAGGAAUUGUGCUUUGUGAU
rnacentral:antisense_RNA from 1 species